rnacentral:rRNA from 1 species
ACCGAUAACUGGUGUGAGUUGCACGGCACUUCUAAUCUAACACCAAGCGAAUCAUCGAGUCUUUGAACGCAAACGGCACCCUUCCAGUCCAUUCCAAAGCGGUGGCGGAGGAUGAAGACAAGGGUAUCUCUGGC